rnacentral:rRNA from 1 species
CCUACGGGAGGCAGCAGUGGGGGAUAUUGCACAAUGGGGGGAACCCUGAUGCAGCGACGCCGCGUGAAGGAAGAAGUAUCCAGGUAUGUAAACUUCUAUCAGCAGGGAAGAAAAUGCCGGUACCUGACUAUGACGCCCCGGCUAACUACGUGCCAGCAGCCGCGGUAAUACGUAGGGGGCAGGCGUUAUCCGGAUUUAUUGGGUUUAAAGGGUGCGUAGGCUGUGAGGUAAGUCAGCGGGGAAAUGCCCCCGCUCAACGGGGUGAAGUGCCAUUGAUACUGCCUUGCUGGAAUGCGGAUGCCGUGGGAGGAAUGUGUGGUGUAGCGGUGAAAUGCAUAGAUAUCACACAGAACACCGAUUGCGAAGGCAUCUCACGAAUC